GCUUGUGCGGGCCCCCGUCAAUUCCUUUGAGUUUCAGUCUUGCGACCGUACUCCCCAGGCGGAGUGCUUAAUGCGUUAGCUGCAGCACUAAGGGGCGGAAACCCCCUAACACUUAGCACWCAUCGUUUACGGCGUGGACUACCAGSGUAUCUWAUCCUGUUCGCUCCCCACGCUUUCGCUCCUCAGCGUCAGUUACAGACCAGAGAGUCGCCUUCGCCACUGGUGUUCCUCCACAUCUCUACGCAUUUCACCGCUACACGUGGAAUUCCACUCUCCUCUUCUGCACUCAAGUUUCCCAGUUUCCAAUGACCCUCCCCGGUUGAGCCGGGGGCUUUCACAUCAGACUUAAGAAACCGCCUGCGAGCCCUUUACGCCCAAUAAUUCCGGACAACGCUUGCCACCUACGUAUUACCGCGGCUGCUGGCACGUAGUUAGCCGUGGCUUUCUGGUUAGGUACCGUCAAGGUGCGAGCAGUUACUCUCGCACUUGUUCUUCCCUAACAACAGAGCUUUACGAUCCGAAAACCUUCAUCACUCACGCGGCGUUGCUCCGUCAGACUUUCGUCCAUUGCGGAAGAUUCCCUACUGCUGCCUCCCGUAGGAGUCUGGGCCGUGUCUCAGUCCCAGUGUGGCCGAUCACCCUCUCAGGUCGGCUACGCAUCGUCGCCUUGGUGAGCCAUUACCCCACCAACUAGCUAAUGCGCCGCGGGUCCAUCUGUAAGUGACAGCCGAAACCGUCUUUCAUCCUUGAACCAUGCGGUUCAAGGAACUAUCCGGUAUUAGCUCCGGUUUCCCGGGAGUUAUCCCAGUCUUACAGGCAGGUUACCCACG
rnacentral:rRNA from 1 species